AGGGUCUCAGAGCAACAGAAGGAUUCAUUCACCCUGGAAGAGGCUCUCUCCCCUUGGGAUUCCUUAGAACAGAUCAUCAGGAGCCUGGAGCGAGAGGAGUGGUAGCCUUUGUCUGACACAGCAAGGCCUGGAAUAAAUCUGCGGAGCAACCAGGACCCUGCAGCCCGGCGAGUUGCUCCUGAGAUGAAGGGCGACCUCCAGAAGGCUUGCUACCUGCUCCUAUUCGGACACAGGAUGCUGCAGACAGGAAUGAGGUCACCUUGAGUGAAAGGACAGUUCAGCUGCACCAUGGCUUAAAAGGGAAGGUAUCUGGAAGAGAAACGAUGUGGGUGGGCUUCUCCACCUCCUGACCCAGGGAAGCCCUGCCCUUAAGUCUCCACAAGGCCCUUUCCUCCCUGCCCUCACU